GUGUCAGCAGCCGCGGUAAGACGAACCGUCCUAACGUUGUUCGGAAUCACUGGGCUUAAAGGGCGCGUAGGCGGCGGCACAAGUCCGGGGUGAAAUCUUUCGGCUUAACCGGAAAAGGGCUUCGGAUACUGUGUCGCUCGAGGGAGGUAGGGGCACGUGGAACUUCUGGUGGAGCGGUGAAAUGCGUUGAUAUCAGAAGGAACGCCGGUGGCGAAAGCGACGUGCUGGCCCUCUUCUGACGCUGAGGCGCGAAAGCCAGGGGAGCGAACGGGAUUAGAUACCCUGGUAGUCC
rnacentral:rRNA from 1 species